UACGUAGGUGGCAAGCGUUGUCCGGAUUUACUGGGCGUAAAGGGCGUGCAGGCGGUCUGUUAAGUGCAGGGUGAAAGCUCCCGGCUCAACUGGGAGAGGUCCUUGCAUACUGGCGGACUUGAGGGGGGUAGAGGAAAGUGGAAUUCCCGGUGUAGUGGUGAUAUGCGUAGAUAUCGGGAGGAACACCUGUGGCGAAGGCGGUUCUCUGGGCCUUACCUGACGCUGAGGAGCGAAAGCGUGGGGAGCGAACAGG
rnacentral:rRNA from 1 species